GUUGCUCUGACUGCUUAUUGCACCACAUGUGUUUUUCUUUGAAACAAACUUGCUUUGGCGGUGGGCCCAGCCUGCCGCCAGAGGUCUAAACUUACAACCAAUUUUUUAUCAACUUGUCACACCAGAUUAUUACUAAUAGUCAAAACUUUCAACAACGGAUCUCUUGGUUCUCGCAUCGAUGAAGAACGCAGCGAAAUGCGAUACGUAAUAUGAAUUGCAGAUAUUCGUGAAUCAUCGAAUCUUUGAACGCACAUUGCGCCCUCUGGUAUUCCGGAGGGCAUGCCUGUUUGAGCGUCGUUUUCCCUCAAACCGCUGGGUUUGGUGUUGAGCAAUACGACUUGGGUUUGCUUGAAAGACGGUAGUGGUAAGGCGGGAUCGCUUUGACAAUGGCUUAGGUCUAACCAAAAACAUUGCUUGCGGCGGUAACGUCCACCACGUAUAUCUUCAAACUUUGACCUCAAAUCAGGUAGGACUACCCGCUGAACUUAAGCAUAUCAAAAGCGGGGAGGAA
rnacentral:rRNA from 1 species